rnacentral:rRNA from 1 species
GACGAACGCUGGCGGCGUGCCUAAUACAUGCAAGUAGAACGCUGAAGGAGGAGCUUGCUUCUCUGGAUGAGUUGCGAACGGGUGAGUAACGCGUAGGUAACCUGCCUGGUAGCGGGGGAUAACUAUUGGAAACGAUAGCUAAUACCGCAUAAUAGCAGUUGUUGCAUGACAACUGUUUGAAAGGUGCAAAUGCAUCACUACCAGAUGGACCUGCGUUGUAUUAGCUAGUUGGUGGGGUAAAGGCUCACCAAGGCGACGAUACAUAGCCGACCUGAGAGGGGGAUCGGCCACACUGGGACUGAGACACGGCCCAGACUCCUACGGGAGGCAGCAGUAGGGAAUCUUCGGCAAUGGACGGAAGUCUGACCGAGCAACGCCGCGUGAGUGAAGAAGGGUUUCGGAUCGUAAAGCUCUGUUGUAAGAGAAGAACGAGUGUGAGAGUGGAAAGUUCACACUGUGACGGUAUCUUACCAGAAAGGGACGGCUAACUACGUG